AACGGCCCGCCCCAACCACUGUUGCGCCUGCGCAUAAAGCGCGACUCGCUCAGCGAGUUCAAAAAGUUGGUGGCUCUUGAGACUGCAAGAUCGGCCAAAAUUCAGGGCUCGUGAACAGUAAGAAUAUUUUUAGGAAAAAGAUAUCAAAGUAAAUGGAUUUCACCCCCAUCUACUGUAGCCCGUGUGACACUGUUUGGACGUUUAAUGACGUCGUCAGCCUCCCCGCGCUGUGCCCACCUGGAGCGCAGGAGCUAAAUUUCAGCUUAGAGGCUUCUGGUGCUUAGCGCCGCGUCUCGGGUAAAUUAAGCGGUGGAGGAGGAAAUGAGAAGCUUGCAGCGCGACGAUAGCAGUACCAUUGGAGCGCCCACUGUGUCGCAGGCACUGAGUUACACUCUACAAGGAUUCAUUUAAUCCUCACACAGCAGAAGAGUGAACAUUUACCACUAUAACGAGAUCAAGAGGCAAGUUCGGAGAAAUGAAUUACACGAAGAGAUGUCAUCCUUGACUAAGCCUUCAGCCUCCCUCCUUACAGGAUAUUGUGUUCUGCAAGAAGCAGCAGCUAAGAAGUCUGUAGCCCUCUGAAGAGAUACAUCUGAUGAUCACUCACCCAGUUGUUUUGAAGUCUCAAUAUCCAUAACCUGAACAGAUUGUCUACCACCUCUUGUUUUAUAAACAUCACCCUGUAGCAGACAGGAAAGAUAGGCAUUAUACUUUGAUAUAACUGAAUGAUAAACAUGUAUUUCAAACUGAACUUAAGAUUCUCCAUGAAACAAUAAAGAAAGUCCUAUUCACAA